AAUCAACGCUGGCGGCGUGCCUAACACAUGCAAGUCGCACGAGAAAGUGGAGCAAUCCAUGAGUAAAGUGGCGCACGGGUGAGUAACACGUGAAUAAUCUACCUCCGAGUGGGGAAUAACUGAGAGAAAUCUUAGCUAAUACCGCAUAACACUUACGAGUCAAAGCAGCAAUGCGCUUGGAGAGGAGUUCGCGGCCGAUUAGUUAGUUGGCGGGGUAAUGGCCCACCAAGACGAUGAUCGGUAUCCGGCCUGAGAGGGCGCACGGACACACUGGAACUGAAACACGGUCCAGACUCCUACGGGAGGGCAGCAGUGGGGAAUUUUGUCGCAAUGGGGGAAACCCUGACGCAGCAACGCCGCGUGGAGGAUGAAGUAUCUUGGUACGUAAACUCCUUUCGAUUGGGAAGAUAAUGACGGUACCAAUAGAAGAAGCCCCGGCUAACUUCGUGCCAGCAGCCGCAGU
rnacentral:rRNA from 1 species